UACGUAGGGUGCGAGCGUUGUCCGGAAUUAUUGGGCGUAAAGAGCUUGUAGGCGGUUUGUCGCGUCUGCUGUGAAAUCCGGGGCUCAACCCCGGACUUGCAGUGGGUACGGGCAGACUAGAGUGUGGUAGGGGAGACUGGAAGUUCCUGGUGUAGCGGUGAAAUGCGCAGAUAUCAGGAGGAACACCGAGUGGCGAAGGCAGGUCUCUGGGCCACUACUGACGCUGAGAAGCGAAAGCAUGGGGGCAAACAGG
rnacentral:rRNA from 1 species